CAGCAGACUGUAUGCACAGUG
rnacentral:misc_RNA from 1 species